CCCAGACUCCUACGGGAGGCAGCAGUGGGGGAUAUUGCACAAUGGGGGAAACCCUGAUGCAGCGACGCCGCGUGGGCGAAGAAGUAUUUCGGUAUGUAAAGCCCUAUCAGCAGGGAAGAAGAAAUGACGGUACCUGAGUAAGAAGCACCGGCUAAAUACGUGCCAGCAGCCGCGGUAAUACGUAGGGGGCAAGCGUUAUCCGGAUUUACUGGGUGUAAAGGGGGCGCAGACGGCAGCGCAAGCCAGGAGUGAAAGCCCGGGGCCCAACCCCGGGACUGCUCUUGGAACUGCGCGGCUGGAGUGCAGGAGGGGCAGGCGGAAUUCCUGGUGUAGCGGUGAAAUGCGUAGAUAUCAGGAGGAACACCGGUGGCGAAGGCGGCCUGCUGGACUGCGACUGACGUUGAGGCCCGAAAGCGUGGGGAGCAAACAGGAUUAGAUACCCUGGUAC
rnacentral:rRNA from 1 species